AUAUGUUUCGUUAAGUAGGUAUGCAUUUAUUGUUUAUUUUAAAAAUCAAUCUUUAAUUAAAUUAAAUCUUUAAUAUGUGCUUGAGCUAACAACAGCCUUUGUUUCAUUUAUCGAUUUCCUUUUCGUACAUUUUGUUUUUAAAUAAACAUAGUAUAAGAUGUGACAAUAACAGAUGCAGUCAUCGCGUAUAUGUGAAAUCUGUGACUUUUAUCCAAAGCAUUCAAAAAUCGGAAAAAGACAGUCCGUGAAAUAGUACAUGAAGCGCAAAGAUCAAUAUUCACACUAAAGAUCUAAAAGAAGCACAUGCAGAAUCCGAUUUUAGUAAAAAAAAUAAAAUUGAUCAAUAAUAACGAGGACACAACUGAUCAACCCACCUUGGUACAUCAACAAAGGGCCCAGGCAAACUUGGUCUCCAUACGUAAGCAACAAGGAUCCAACCAAUGGUUUCGAGGUUCGUCAUGUUUCGCAACCGCUGGUGUUCAGUGGGACACAACUACCUACCCAAAACCAAGGGGCAACCCUACAAACAAGUGAGGUCUCCUAAGAAAAACCAGGAAAGCAAUCCUGCAAGCAAAUGAGGUCUUAUCAACACAUUGAAAUAACGAUCACACGCAACAGUCACCGAAUUUCAAAAAGUUACUCUACUUAAUGGGCAGGGUCUCUCAACUUACAACAUGGUAUCCCGAAGUAUUUUUAGGUGUUAUGAGAGAAGAGUUAGAAAGUGUUAAUUUUUAUUACAGCAAGUUUGUUAACACGACUAACGAAAAAACUGGAAUGAUGGAGUACACUUAGAUAAUAAUAUUGUUAAGACUUGGAUAUUUUUAUUAGGUUAUAUUUAUUUUAAAAUUUCCUAUUUCUAUAAUUUAAUUUCAUUCUAAUUCUUUUUCGUAGAAUGUAAGUUGUAUUGUAUUCAUAUUAAAACCUUCUAUCGGUAUAGAUACCAAAAUCACUAUCAUUCAGGUAAGUGGAUUUUGCCAAAAGGUAGUUGUACAUUUAUCUGACCCUGUUGCUACAGACAUUUGCACCCUCUAUGCUAAAGUGAGCUAUUCUCGCCCGCUUAAAUAUGCAUAUUUUAACCAAAAACAUACAUUCACAUUCCAGCGGUUGAAUCAUUAACACAUUAUUUGUAUUCAAUCAACUUUAUCAUUUUUUGCAUUUCAAUUUAAUAAUCUUAUACAAUUUUGUAUUUAUUUAGUGUUAAGAUUGUAAACAAAGUUUUCACUGUUG